UAAGCAUAUCAAUAAGCGGAGGAAAAGAAACUAACAAGGAUUCCCCUAGUAACUGCGAGUGAAGCGGGAAAAGCUCAAAUUUAAAAUCCUUCGGGAAUUGUAGUCUCGAGAAGCGUUUUCGGCCGUGGCCUCGGACAAGUCCCUUGGAACAGGGCGUCAUAGAGGGUGAGAAUCCCGUCCUUGCCGAGCACACCAUGUCUAUGUGAUACGCUUUCGAAGAGUCGAGUUGUUUGGGAAUGCAGCUCAAAAUGGGUGGUAAACUCCAUCUAAAGCUAAAUAUUGGCGAGAGACCGAUAGCGAACAAGUACCGUGAGGGAAAGAUGAAAAGCACUUUGGAAAGAGAGUUAAACAGUACGUGAAAUUGUUGAAAGGGAAGCGCUUGAAGUCAGUCGCGUCUCCGGAGACUCAGCCUCACGGCGCAUUUCUUCGUUGACGGGCCAACAUCAGUUUUGGCCGCGGGAAAAGGACCUGGGGAAUGUGGCAGCUCCGGCUGUGUUAUAGCCUCUUGUCGUACACCGCGGCUGGGACUGAGGACUGCUUAACAGGAUGUUGGCGUAAUGGCUUUAAGCGACCCGUCUU
rnacentral:rRNA from 1 species